rnacentral:lncRNA from 1 species
UGCCCAGCCAGGAGCCUUAGCAAGAGUUGGACAGGCCCAGUUCAAGGGGCAGGUGGCUGGCUAGCCUGCUCCAAGAGGGGUGAGGCCUGACCCCAAACCAGCCUACAGCAGGGCCUGUGGCAUUUCUCUGGGAAAGGGAGAGAGGAAGGGUCCCUGUCCUGGGUGUGUCACAGGAUUUCUGCCUGUUCUUUGCACCCAGAAUCCAGCUGUCCCUGAAGCCACCCUUGGGGCUCUGUGGCCCGGGGCAGCUCUUCAGGUCUGGUGUGUCCUCAAUGGCCGCCCUCUUUCCUGUCUGGUCCCCACCCACCAUUGCUGUCACUCUAUCCCUGCGACCCAGUUUCCCUCCUUGUCUCUGCCUUGGGGCAGGGAAUGCUGGAGAUAGUGUCCC